rnacentral:rRNA from 1 species
UACAGAGGGUGCGAGCGUUAAUCGGAAUUACUGGGCGUAAAGCGUGCGUAGACGGUCAAGUAAGUCGGGUGUGAAAGCCCCGGGCUCAACCUGGGAAUUGCAUUCGAGACUGCGUGGCUAGGGUGCGGAAGAGGGAAGCGGAAUUUCCGGUGUAGCGGUGAAAUGCGUAGAUAUCGGAAGGAACACCAGUGGCGAAAGCGGCCAUCUGGACCAGCACUGACACUGAGGCACGAAAGCGUGGGGAUCAAACAGG